UGCGCAUUUACUCCUACGUAUAUCAAUGGAAGUAGUGUUUCGUUCUCAGAUGCCACCAGAGCUACUUUACCUUGUGGUGUUAUUUAUUGUUACAAGUAAUAGAUGGACAGCACGGUUGUUAUACCUCCUGAUAAACAAUUACAGCGCUAUUUGGGCUCCCUAAGUAAGUGUAUGACUGGGUAUUUGGUUCAAAGGAUGUCCAGCUGUUUGUCCCGAUGCCGCACAAUCACGGCGUACGAAGCACAGGUUAUCACAUCUCAGCACACGGACAUGCAGAAAGCAUCCAGGCUGAUGCAGAUUGUCAUUAAAAAAGGUCAAAGUGCAUGCAGUUCGUUCCUCACAUGCCUUGGAAUUUGUGACCCGGUGUUGUAUGAGAAUGUUACUGGAUUCCCAGCACAAUUUAAUGAAGAGGACCAUCAACAUGUAGAGCAAAUUCCUCUCUCAGAAAAAUUGCAAUUUACACCUUGUAUUAUAAACAUACAAAACUCUUCCCUGACCAACUGUAUUAUUGGGAACAACAAUCGCCAAUGCAUUACCUGUGAACAGCAUUCUUUGCUCGCUCAGAAUGAUGCAAGCAAUGUGAAUGAAAUGCCGGAUAUUCAGAGCAGUGAUCAACUGAUCCCAGUGCAGGACACAAUAAGUAUCAACAGCAUUCAAAUGGAGAGAUCCGACAUAGAGUAUGUUAUUAUAGGCGACCAUAACAGUAUGACAGUCAUUGAGAACUCGGAGGUUGAGGAGGAUACGGAGAUUGAGCCAGAAGUGAUUGGUUAAUAGAUGUGAAAAAGCCGGACAGGAGGGCAGACUGGCAGAUUUGGAGAGCUGCAGAUUGUCAACUCGCCUUACCGGGCCUGACCUAUAAUUGGACACUGAAAGCAUAAUAUAUGCUUUAAACUGAUCAGUGCUUAGGUCCUCAGCAGGUGCUGCCAAAUGCACUGAAACAUUAUCCUUUAUCGUGGAUUUUUCUAAACCUGUGUGCCUUGAGGUGGUAAUGAUAUUUGAUACUGCCUUGAUUGUUACUGAACAUGACUGCUACUGACUGUUUUAAUGGGUACACCAAUAUUUAUUUGUUCAACAGAAAUGUAUGAAAUAAAAUACGUUGACUGGCACUGCA
rnacentral:lncRNA from 1 species